UGUUGUGGUGUCAAGCGAUUGACUGUCAGUUGAGGUUCAGAUGUCGAGCUGUGCGGACGUGUUCAUCGAGCUGCUGUCUACAAAAAACGUGAGUACAAAUUUUUUUCGUUUUACUGUUUACAAGUUGCGUGAUGAUGUAUGAUGGUUGUAAUGUGUUGGGUAGAAAUUACUCAGUGCUGAUACAGUGUCGAUAUGUUGUGAUGAGCGAUAAUAGUGGAUGAUGGUGGAACAGAAUAUUCAUUGAGCUAUUUUGAGGAAGCGAACAUAUGAUGGAAAAAUGUUGCAAAAAUAUUAAAUGACAAUGUAUUGAAUCGCUUUUGUUGAUAUGUAUGAUAUUGAUUAAAUUGUAUUUGCAUGCUGUAACAUUUCUAUUCCAUUUCAGGGGGCUGUGGUGAGUAUUGUAGUAUAAAUUUGUUUCAAUAAAUCAUGAUGAAUGAAAACUGAUUUUGAUUCGUUUUGUACAGGUUUACUUGUAUAGAAGUGUAAUGCGUUGGGUAGAAAUUAGAAUCUACUCAGUACUGAUAUAGUGUCGAUAUGUUGUGAUUAGCGAUGAUGGUGUAUGAUGGUGGAACAGAACAUGAGCUACUUUGGGGAAACGAACAUAUGAUUGAAAAAAAUUUGCAAACAUAGUAGAUAAAUGAUAUGAUAUUGCUUAAAUUGUAUUUGCAUGCUGUAACAUUUCUAUUUCAUUUCAGGGUGCUGUGGUGAGUACUGUAGAUUGUAGUGCAUAUGUAUAGAAUUCAAUAAACGAUGAUGAAUGAAAACUGAUUUCGAUUCGUUUUGUGUAAUUUUAGGUAUUUUCACUCUAUCACAACUCUGUCGGUUGGUGUUCAUGAGUGUGAGACUAAUACAGCAAUGUUUGAGUAGUACAAAAAUGUUUUCGCUUUUGUGGUCGCCAGCUGUCCGUGAUCUGUAAAGUGAAAAUACACAGAGCUAUGAAGCAUACAAAUGUUUCGAAAUUUUAUCAAUGAUUGUAUACUAUGCAUGUUUUGAUUUAGUUCGUUUCAGAUUUGACAUGAGAUGAAAACCUGACAUGAUUUGAACAGAGCUGGGAAACGAAAAGAUUUUCAGAUGUGUGCUGGCAGUUCAAGUCUGGCAGCUGGAGUGAACAGUCGUGUUUUCUGGAGCUCCAACAAUAUGCUAGAAGGAGUGCUUAUCCAGUGAUGAUAUGACAGUUGGAGUGAACAGUGGAG